rnacentral:rRNA from 1 species
UACGUAGGGUGCAUGCGUUGUCCGGAAUUAUUGGGCGUAAAGAGCUCGUAGGCGGUUUGUCGCGUCGAAUGUGAAAACCCGGGGCUCAACCCCGGGCCUGCAUUCGAUACGGGCAGACUAGAGUUCGGUAGGGGAGUCUGGAAUUCCUGGUGUAGCGGUGAAAUGCGCAGAUAUCAGGAGGAACACCGGUGGCGAAGGCGGGUCUCUGGGCCGAUACUGACGCUGAGGAGCGAAAGCGUGGGGAGCGAACAGG